GAGGAGCCUGCGUCGCAUCAGCUAGUUGGCGGGGUAACGGCCCACCAAGGCUGCGACGGGUAGCUGGUCUGAGAGGACGACCAGCCACACUGGCACUGCGACACGGGCCAGACUCCUACGGGAGGCAGCAGUGAGGAAUAUUGCGCAAUGGACGACAGUCUGACGCAGCGACGCCGCGUGGGGGAUGAAGGCCUUCGGGUUGUAAACCCCUUUCAGGAGGGAAGAUGGGACGGGCAACCGUUCGGACGGUACCUCCAGAAGCAGCCACGGCUAACUCUGUGCCAGCAGCCGCGGUAAGACAGAGGUGGCAAGCGUUGUUCGGAUUUACUGGGCGUAAAGGGUGCGUAGGUGGUUAGGUAAGACCUGUGGGAAAGACCUGGGCUUAACCCAGGAAGGUCGCAGGUGACUGCCUAGCUAGAGGGCGGGAGAGGAGCGCGGAAUUCCCGGUGUAGCGGUGAAAUGCGUAGAGAUCGGGAGG
rnacentral:rRNA from 1 species